GUGGAGGAUUGCAGAAGAACCAUGGGGUUAAUGAUGGUGGCAUCCCCUUUGAGACGCUCAGCCAGCAAGUGUCUCAGAAGGGCAAGGACAAGAGCAUCGGUGAACAAUAUCUGGGAAAAAAGGAAUCUCUCACUACUAUCUACAGUGAGGUCUGUUAUCCAGACCAGACCAUGGAGAUCAUUUGAUUGGAGGAAGCAGGAGGAUCUGGCACUCCCAGGACACCUGCAUUCUGAGCCUAAGUCCUGCAGACCCCUGCCUUUCCCAGCUCUGGUUCAGUUCCAGCUUCCCCUUGUGUGUGUUACUCUGACCUCGUAGCUACAUUUCUAGAGGGUACACAUGGCCUGGUUGUACUCCGUGACACUUCCCAAGCUGCCCUUACACUUGGCCAAGGGCUGUUCUCCAUCACUGAGAUGGCUGCUGACCCCUGUUCUUCAUAAGCCUUCCCAAGAGGAGCCUGUCUGAUUGAGCAGGUGUCAAGUUCCCACCACGUCUGCUGUCACUGGUGUGUGUACUUCUGAGGACACAAGCCCAGACACGGGGACUGUGCAGAGCUGUUCACUAUGCUGCAGAAGAGGGUGGUAGGAUCUGGCUUCUGGAUGCUGAGUUGGAGGAUAUCAUUGUUGGGUACCAGCUCCAACCCCGUUUGUGGGUGCCCCGAGCCCUGGAGGUGAUGAGGGAUUGAGAAAGGAAAUAAAGACAAGACACAGAAAGAGUUCAAAGAGUGGGCCCAGGGGACCUAUGUAAGGUGCAAGGACCAUGUUGGCCCCAAGUUCUGGUUUCCACAGGUUUUUAUUAGGUGCCCGCACUCAUUAUUUGAGGAGUGGAAAGCAGAGGGGUGUUAUCGGGUGAGGCCUUGAAACUAUUGUGGGGACAAGAUAGCCAUGGGGAGAAGCAUGCAUCAUUAGAAUACAAUGAAACAGGUGAUUCUUCUAAGAGAAGCUAAUCUAGUACACCAGUUUUACCGCUGAUCAUUAUCGAUAUGCAGCUGCACCAGAACACAGCAGGUAGGGAGCCACCAGCUCUGACCACACACAGUGCAUCAGGGGGCUUUUAUCUUUCGAUCACUGUGGACAUAGGGCAAGUGAGAUUACCUCAUAUUCUAAGAAUAUAGGCAGAGCAGGAGGCGUUCCACCAUCUCUGUCUGCAAGGCCUUCCUGCCUUGUCAGCUGCCAUCUUCACAGCCCCUCCCGGAUCUUGUGAGCAGAGAUUGCCAACCUUUCCCGGGUGCUUACACCAGAGCAGACCCCUGUGCAGACCCCAUCUUGAAAAGGAGUUCACGGGACCAAGGCAGUGUUUUCCUGCCUUGCAACCACAGCAUGGAUGUGCCACGGUUAAUGGGGCGCUCUCAGAUGGUCUAACUUUAGGCCCUCCCAUUACCACUUUUGCUCGUGCUUUGACAAGCUACAAGCUGUUCUCUUCUUGUGCUGGGCUUUUCAUUCACUGUUGUUUAUUUCAGGGUAUAAACUUCAGUGUACCACGAACUCUAUAAGCUAAUAUGCAAAUCAAACUUAUAUUUGUUUAAUCAGCAAUAGUAGAGACAGCAUAUGUCUGCCCCUUGUCAUCUGGGCCCAUAUAUCAUUGGUGGAUAGAAACCCACAAAGGAAAAGGUUGAGGCUUCCUGUGCAGGUUUUGUGUAGGGCUCCUUCGGGGGUAUCAGGCAGUGUGUGUGUGCAUGCAGGUUGGGGGGAUUGUCUAGUGCACAUUAUACAACUGAACCAAAGCCCCCUUUCUUAACACCUGUGCUAAUCUGAACCUAAUUUUCAGCCUUAGUGAGUUUUAUUGAUGAUCCUGUCUCUGUGUCAUGUGGU
ensembl:lincRNA